UAGGCGUACGGGUGAGUAACACGUGGAUCAUCUACCUCUUAGUGGGGAAUAACUCUGGGAAACCGGAGCUAAUACCGCAUAAGCCUGGAAAGGGAAAGCAGCAAUGCGCUGAGAGAGGAGUCCGCGGCCGAUUAGCUAGUUGGCAGGGUAAAAGCCUACCAAGGCAUUGAUCGGUAGCCGGCCUGAGAGGGCACACGGCCACACUGGCACUGAAACACGGCCCAG
rnacentral:rRNA from 1 species